GAUGAACGCUAGCUACAGGCUUAACACAUGCAAGUCGAGGGGCAGCAUUUCAGUUUGCUUGCAAACUGGAGAUGGCGACCGGCGCACGGGUGAGUAACACGUAUCCAACCUGCCGAUAACUCGGGGAUAGCCUUUCGAAAGAAAGAUUAAUACCCGAUGGCAUAAUUAGACCGCAUGGUCUUAUUAUUAAAGAAUUUCGGUUAUCGAUGGGGAUGCGUUCCAUUAGGCAGUUGGUGAGGUAACGGCUCACCAAACCUUCGAUGGAUAGGGGUUCUGAGAGGAAGGUCCCCCACAUUGGAACUGAGACACGGUCCAAACUCCUACGGGAGGCAGCAGUGAGGAAUAUUGGUCAAUGGGCGCAGGCCUGAACCAGCCAAGUAGCGUGAAGGAUGACUGCCCUAUGGGUUGUAAACUUCUUUUAUAUGGGAAUAAAGUUUUCCACGUGUGGAAUUUUGUAUGUACCAUAUGAAUAAGGAUCGGCUAACUCCGUGCCAGCAGCCGCGGUAAUACGGAGGAUCCGAGCGUUAUCCGGAUUUAUUGGGUUUAAAGGGAGCGUAGGUGGACAGUUAAGUCAGUUGUGAAAGUUUGCGGCUCAACCGUAAAAUUGCAGUUGAUACUGGCUGUCUUGAGUACAGUAGAGGUGGGCGGAAUUCGUGGUGUAGCGGUGAAAUGCUUAGAUAUCACGAAGAACUCCGAUUGCGAAGGCAGCUCACUGGACUGCAACUGACACUGCUGCUCGAAAGUGUGGGUAUCAAACAGGAUUAGAUACCCUGGUAGUCCACACAGUAAACGAUGAAUACUCGCUGUUUGCGAUAUACAGUAAGCGGCCAAGCGAAAGCAUUAAGUAUUCCACCUGGGGAGUACGCCGGCAACGGUGAAACUCAAAGGAAUUGACGGGGGCCCGCACAAGCGGAGGAACAUGUGGUUUAAUUCGAUGAUACGCGAGGAACCUUACCCGGGCUUAAAUUGCAUUUGAAUAUAUUGGAAACAGUAUAGCCGUAAGGCAAAUGUGAAGGUGCUGCAUGGUUGUCGUCAGCUCGUGCCGUGAGGUGUCGGCUUAAGUGCCAUAACGAGCGCAACCCUUAUCUUUAGUUACUAACAGGUCAUGCUGAGGACUCUAGAGAGACUGCCGUCGUAAGAUGUGAGGAAGGUGGGGAUGACGUCAAAUCAGCACGGCCCUUACGUCCGGGGCUACACACGUGUUACAAUGGGGGGUACAGAAGGCAGCUACCUGGUGACAGGAUGCUAAUCCCAAAAGCCUCUCUCAGUUCGGAUCGAAGUCUGCAACCCGACUUCGUGAAGCUGGAUUCGCUAGUAAUCGCGCAUCAGCCAUGGCGCGGUGAAUACGUUCCCGGGCCU
rnacentral:rRNA from 1 species